rnacentral:rRNA from 1 species
CCCGGGCCUUGUACACACCGCCCGUCACACCACGAAAGUUGGUAACACCCGAAGCCAGUGGCCCAACCCUUUUGGGAGGGAGCUGUCGAAGGUGGGAUCAGCGAUUGGGGUG